rnacentral:misc_RNA from 1 species
UUAACGAUUAUAUAGUACUCAGACAGCAGAUAUUUCAGCGUUGAAGUCCUCUGCCGGGCGCGCCCGGCAAAGCAACGAAGUUCAGUAAACAUAGGGUGAGAAUAGGGGCCGCGAGGCCUGUUAUUCUGUAAUGAUCCUUCCGCAGGUUCACCUACGGAAA